GACGAACGCUGGCGGCGUGCUUAACACAUGCAAGUCGAACGGUAAGGCCCUUCGGGGUACACGAGUGGCGAACGGGUGAGUAACACGUGGGUGAUCUGCCCUGCACUUCGGGAUAAGCCUGGGAAACUGGGUCUAAUACCGGAUAGGACUCCGGACUGCAUGGUCUGGGGUGGAAAGCUUUUGCGGUGUGGGAUGGGCCCGCGGCCUAUCAGCUUGUUGGUGGGGUGAUGGCCUACCAAGGCGACGACGGGUAGCCGGCCUGAGAGGGGGACCGGCCAAACUGGGACGGAGAUACGGCCCGGACUCCUACGGGAGGCAGCAGUGGGGAAUAUUGCACAAUGGGCGCAAGCCUGAUGCAGCGACGCCGCGUGAGGGAUGACGGCCUUCGGGUUGUAAACCUCUUUCAGCAUCGACGAAGCGAAAGUGACGGUAGGUGCAGAAGAAGGACCGGCCAACUACGUGCCAGCAGCCGCCGUAA
rnacentral:rRNA from 1 species